rnacentral:rRNA from 1 species
AUGGCUCGCUUGCGCCCAGCCCAAUUCCACCAUUCUCCCAUCUCAAUGGCUAGCGCAUUAGGGCACGAGCAACCACAGACAGUCUCUCGUCUCUCCCUUUCUCUGCUCUGCGCCGCCUCGCCCCUCUCUCACCACGCCGCAAAUCUGGAUCGAUGGCGACGAGCGACGCCGCGUUUCCUCGCCAACUCGGCAUCGACGGCGACGGGCGGCGCGACCGUUCCUCACCACACCGGACGUAGAUGGACGCGCCUCCCCUGGUUUCUCGCGGAAUGUGACGAGCCGGAGCAGGUACCUCCUUCCUUCCCAAUCCCUAGCCGCAGCUAUCUGAACUUCAGUAAAGAGACGACGAGUGGGAAGGAGAAGGAGAAAGAGAGGACGUUGGACUCCAUUAUGAAGAGCAAGUUGCCAGUCUCGGGGAUGCAAAAGGGGAAUGGGAAGGGCAAUGCAGCAGCUACUACACGGCUGCCGAGGAAGCUGGCAAAUGAUUCCAGCAAUGUCCCAAUCGCUGAGUUGUUGUAUAGGGCAAUGGAGCAUGAUAAGCAAGCGGAGGAGGAUCAUGAAGAGGUGGAAGAGGAUGAGGAGGAGGACGAGGAAGAGCAAGAUACUUUGUUUGAGGUGCCGCUUGGGGCUGGUGACAACUCAGAUUCAGAUGGGUUUGUGGAUAGUGAAGAAGAAGCCUUCGAAGCCACUUCAUCAACACCAUCAAAAAGUGAGCUUAGAAACUAUCUAGAUGACUUGAAUGAGGCAAUGGAUCCUAAGUUCAAUCUUCUUGAUUGGCGGAGGGUGAAUGCACCUAGAUACCCCGUACUGGCAAUGAUGGCAAAGAGGUUCUUGACUGUCCCAGCUACCUUCGUGUCUUCAGAAUCAACUUUUAGCACGGGUGGAAGAGUUUUAGAUAAUCGUCAUGUUGGUGUUGCUCUUGCUACUUUGAAGAUGGAUGUCUACAUGAUCUUGUCAUGUGGAUUGUUGAGUUUUUAUGUCAAAGUGGUUCAGAGUCCUGGUAGUGCCCCCAUGACGAACCUGUUCCUGAGUAUGUACCUCCCUGCUGAAGGACAAAACUGUUUCGACGAAAUGAAGCAGAUAUGUCGUGGAGCAUUUCCCCCGGUUUAG